AGAGUUUGAUCCUGGCUCAGAGUGAACGCUGGCGGCGUGCUUAACACAUGCAAGUCGAACGGGAAUAACUUGGGGUUAAACUUGAGUUAUUUUAGUGGCAGACGGGUGAGUAACACGUGAGAUAUCUUCCCUCGAUUUGGGGAUAACCUGCCGAAAGGCGGGCUAAUACCCAAUCAGGCUUUCUGGUUGCGACCAGACAGUCAAAGGCUCUAUAGCAAUAUAGUGUUGAUUGAGGAUGAGCUCGCGGCCUAUCAGCUAGUUGGUGAGGUAAUGGCUCACCAAGGCUAUGACGGGUAGCCGGCCUGAAAGGGCGACCGGCCACAAUGGCACUGAGACACGGGCCAUACUCCUACGGGAGGCWGCAGUGGGGARUUUUGGACAAUGGGGGAAACCCUGAUCCAGCGACGCCGCGUGGAGGACUGAAGGUCUUCGGAUUGUAAACUCCUUUUAUAUGGGACGAAACUAUACUACGUAACACUAGUGUACUGACUGUACCAUAUGAAUAAGUCACGGCUAACUACGUGCCAGCAGCCGCGGUAAUACGUAGGUGGCUAGCGUUACUCGGAAUUAUUAGGCGUAAAGCGCAUGUAGGCGGUUGAAUAAGUCGAUCGUUAAAACCAUUGGCUCAACCAAUGGAGGCCGGUCGAAACUAUUUGACUUGAGUGUAAGAGAGGAAACUGGAAUUCCUGGUGUAGCGGUGAAAUGCGUAGAUAUCAGGAGGAAUACCAAUGGCGAUGGCAGGUUUCUGGCUUAAUACUGACGCUCAGAUGCGAAAGCUAGGGGAGCAAACAGGAUUAGAUACCCUGGUAGUCC
rnacentral:rRNA from 1 species